GAAUACAAAGCAUGUUGUCUGGCACACAGUAAACAUUCAAUAAAAGUUAGCUAUCAUUAUUAGUAUUAGUACAGUCAUAGUAGCCACAGGAUCACUCUAAUCCCAGGAGCAUCUCAUAUAUAGCACAUUGCUAUACAGAAAAUUUAAGUCCUGAAAAGGAAAUGUUCCAGAAUUUAUCAGCCUGAACAUAGUAGCUCCUGAAAUAGUGGCUGGAUUAACAAAAGUGCCAAGGUCUGAGUAUCCUAGCCUUGGCGCUUGGCACAGAGAUCUGUUUAUUCUGUGCUUACUGUAGGCUCACAUGGCGCUAGGCAACAUCAUUCAUGACCUUAUAAAGUUUAAAUUCUUGUUGUGGAGACAAGGCCAACAAACAUAACAUUAAUAAGAAAUACAAGACAGGAUAUAUUGCUAAACCAUAUUUUUGGUAGCGAGCGCUAUGUGAGUUAAGAGGGGGAAAAUAACAAUAAUGGAGCACCCACUAUGUGCUAGGCCCAGGAUUGAAAACAUCACCUUAUUUAGGUUUUCACUGAUUCCAUGAGGUAGAUUAUAUAUAGCCAUAUAAGAGAUGAAGAAACUUUGACACAGUGACAUUCAGUGACAUCACAAUGCAGGACACACAAUUAGUAAGUGGCUAAGCCAGAACUUGAACACAGGCCUCCUGGCCCUUAGACCCUGCAGAAGACAUCCGUCCUCCCAAAGACAAGCGCGUAUCAUCAACCCCAUCUUCUGGAAGAGGAAGCAGGAGGUCAGAAACGUUAAGUGACUUGUCCAAGGUCACUGAAAUAAUAGCUGGCCGAGCUGGGGUUUACAUGCAGGUCUGCCCACCUCAGGAUCUCAGGUGUGCCCUUUGCACCUGACAGCCUGGCCCCGGCACCCGGCACCCCUCCUCGCAGCAAAGGAGGCGAGCGCGCGGCGCCUGUGGAGCAGCGCGCAUCUGGGCGGCUGCCUUCAGCUCGGCGAAGCAGGCGGGGCAGCCGCCCGGGCGCCACGGCGGCCCUCACAGAGCCCGGGCCGGGCCCCUCGCGUUACAGAAGAAGCGGAGGCCCAGAGUGGCUAGUUCACCCUCUAGCCUGUCAGCCCCACUCCUUCGCCUUGCCCGGGCUGCCCUCACCUGAAGGGCUCCCCCGUGCCCCAUUCCGCUCAUCUGUGAAGCCCGCCCACUCCUCAGGACCUGAGCUCUCGCCGCCCCGCAGCUCCGCCUGGGGCCUACGGCGCGUGCGGCAAGGGAGCGCGUGCUACGCCGAUGUGCAUCACGGGACCUUUCCAUCUCUCGGCUCGUUCCUGGUGGCACUCAGUAAACGUCUGUUGAACAGGUGGGAAAACUGAUGAAUAAACCGGAGCACUGACAGACCCCGGGUGGGGACGAGCCGGGACCGGCCUAAGCUACGGGCCUCUCGCCCGCCGCCUGGAGGAAGCACGAGCGUCGGCCGGGCCUCGGCCCCGCGGCGCCACCUCGUGGUUUCUGUGAGGAACUGCACCAGGCUGGGCUCCGGGGCGCGUGUCCUGGGGUGACUAAGAGUAAGGGGGACCGGGCCCUCUAGGGAGCAGUCCUAGCAUCUGGCCUAUUUUUCCUGUCAACUUUAUGGACGUACUCAACCUUGCUGAAGGAAAAUAAUGCAGAAAAGUGACCAGAAAGGAUUUUCCCACACCCUGCCAAACAUGCAAAUGGAAACUGUGCAAGUCUUCCUGCAUCUGGACCAACAGACGAGACCCUCCUCCACACUUGUCAUCUGAGAUGAGUACACACCUUCACGACAGGGUUGGACGCUGCCCCGCCUCACCUACUCCGCAUCCCCCCUGGGGAAUCAGAGAGGGGGAGCGAGCAGGCGCAGGGCUGGGCGCGGGCAGGCCCGCGGGGCAGGCGGAACAAGGCCCCAGAAAGAAGCUGCCCCCUCCCCAAGCGCACUGAGAAGCGCGGGAAGUUUCGAGGGAAACGCCUUUCCCACCCAGCCCCAAAGUCAGUCCCUUCUUCCACUGCGGAGUGGGGGUCGCCGCAGCCCCUUUCUAAUCCAGCCAGUAUUCACAAUCCAAGAAUGAAAUCUCAUGUUUACGCGUGUCCUUAUUUAACUCGAGCAUACAAACAGACACGUGCGGUCCAAUUUAGAUGGCGUAGGUCUCGAGAUAGUGAGCAAAUGUGUUUGAGGGUGCUCCCCUGGUCCCUGCCACCAACGGUUUCUCUGCCUUGGUUCUACGUGCAUUCUGGGGAGGCAGAGAAUGUCGCAGGAAAUGGGUCUCCUAGACUCGUGCGAGCCCGGGAGGACCACGGCCUCCCCGCGCCGCCGAGCCUGCCGAUGCCCUGGCCGGGCGAUCAGGACGCGUUCCGAUCCGUCAGUGACCAAGGACGCACUCAAGGCUCGGUGAUUGUGCAGAUAUUUCCCUGCUGUUCCCUGAGGUAGCCUUUCACCCGGUACCUAGACCCCCAUGGGUGGGCACCAGGAAGCUUCCUGUCCUCCUCACUCUCCGUCCGCCCGGCCGGCGUCGCCCGCCCCGGCCUUCUGCGUUCCCGCCGUGGGCGGCGCACUCUGUCGGCCUCGGACCCUCGGCUACUUCAGGAAGGGGCACCAAAAACACGGACACACCUCUUUCAUAUUAAUAUUGAUUGCUAGAUAUGAAUAAGUGUUUUACAAUGUUUUGCAAUGCUAGAAGACCCCCUUCCCACAGGGAACCCGUGUGCCUCCUGCUGCAUACACACGAAUCCUGGGCGCACCAGCCAGGGAGAAGCAACUGUAAGAAAAGUGGCACCUGUGGCUCUUAGUGCCUACGUUGUGCCCUGUGUCCCGUCAAUGUCCCCGAUGUGGUAGCAGCACACUUGUACGGCUGGCGGGCCGCGCACGCUUGGUAACUGCGCGGAGACGCUAGUCUGCUCGUGGGCAUGAUCUCGGGAAGGGAGUGAACACGCACUCGGCGGGCCUCCGAGGGAGACAAACAGGACUUCGGCGGGGGACGCGGUGGAGCACAGAGUCACGGACUGUUUGCAGCCACAGCAGUGGGAAGAGUGAUUGUUACGAGAACGCCCAGGGGCGCUCUCAUCCGGAAGUACACAAGCCAAGCAAAAUGCGCGGCCUUUGGGCGAAGGCACCGAAGAGCACCAUCUAGCGACCCCAUGAGUUCUUUCUCCGAGGACGCGUCGGUAAUGACAAAUGGAGACCCCUGCGCGCAGAACCGAGGGCGGGAAAGCGACCUUGGAGAUAAAACAGAAAGUGCGGAGGAUAGCGUGCGGGCCUCAGACGCGGAAAACAGGGUCAGAGCACUCACCUCAAAGACAUGAUGCAUUGUUUGGUGAAGAUGAAAAGGGUCUUUGAGACAUUUCUGCUGGAACAUGAUAGCAUUAACGGCCCAGUGUUUUCAGUGUUGAAGAGCGGGAAAGCUGUUUGACUUAGGAAGAGGGGUCUCUCUUUCUCCUGUGUGCUAACCCUGGUGCUGAAAUGAAUGUCUCUGCUGGCCCUGGAAGAGAAUGAAUCCUUUGGAAAUCUUUCAGAUGGAGAAUUACUCCAAGAAGGGCUACACCUGGGACUGCUCAACACAAAAGCAAAUCCUUUCAAGAUGACUGUCAUAGUAAAGUGAUUUGGGUUGCUUUUGAGCUUUAAAUGAAUGGAAUCAUACAGAUGUGCUCUUUCUUUGCUCA